GGCCCUAUGGUCAAGUGGUUAAGACACCGCCCUUUCACGGCGGUAACCCGGGUUCGAGUCCCGGUAGGGUCACCA
rnacentral:tRNA from 3 species